rnacentral:rRNA from 1 species
CCUACGGGAGGCAGCAGUGGGGAAUUUUGGACAAUGGGGGCAACCCUGAUCCAGCAAUGCCGCGUGAGUGAAGAAGGCCUUCGGGUUGUAAAGCUCUUUUGUCAGGGAAGAAACAGCAGCUCUAACACAGACUGCGAAUGACGGUACCUGAAGAAUAAGCACCGGCUAACUACGUGCCAGCAGCCGCGGUAAUACGUAGGGUGCGAGCGUUAAUCGGAAUUACUGGGCGUAAAGCGUGCGCAGGCGGUUAUACAAGACAGGCGUGAAAUCCCCGGGCUUAACCUGGGAAUGGCGUCUGUGACUGUAUAGCUAGAGUGUGUCAGAGGGGGGUGAAUUCCACGUGUAGCAGUGAAAUGCGUAGAUAUGUGGAGGAACACCAAUGGCGAAGGCAGCCCCCUGGGAUAACACUGACGCUCAUGCACGAAAGCGUGGGGAGCAAACAGGAUUAGAUACCCUGGUAGUCCACGCCCUUAAAACGAUGCUGACUAGUUGUUAGGGUAACUUUACAUUCUCAAGGUAACGUAGACUAACGCGUAGAAGUACGAGCCGCCGUCGGGAGGUACGGUCGCGAAGAAGUAAACGUAACAAAGUAGAAGUUAGUACGGACGUAGAGACGUUAGACGACGGACGACGACGAGGGGAGGUAGGAG